AGAGUUUGAUCAGUGGCUCAGAGCGAACGCUAGCGGCAGGCUUAACACAUGCAAGUCGAGCGGGAUGACUUCGGUCAUCCAGCGGCGCACGGGUGAGUAACACGUAGGUAACGUACCCUUUGGUGAGGAACAACCCAGGGAAACCUGGGCUAAUGCCACCUAUGUCCUUCGGGAUGAAAGUCGAAAGACGCCAGGGGAUCGGCCUGCGGCCCAUUAUCUAAUCCUAGUUGGUAAGGUAACGGCUUACCAAGGGUACGAUGGGUAGCUGGUCUGAGAGGAUGAUCAGCCACACUGGGACUGAGACACGGCCCAGACUCCUACGGGAGGCAGCAGUGGGGAAUAUUGCGCAAUGGGCGAAAGCCUGACGCAGCCAUGCCGCGUGAGUGAUGAAGGCCCUCGGGUCGUAAAGCUCUGUCGGGAGGGACGAAGGGUGGCAACACUCUGACGGUACCUCGCAAGAAAGCACCGGCUAACUCCGUG
rnacentral:rRNA from 1 species